rnacentral:lncRNA from 1 species
GAAUAGAGGUGUUUAAAUACCCAAAUUAGGGCGCAUGCAAAACGACACAAAACAGAGUUUAGCACAAAAACCAAGUCAGCACGUUUAGAGGGAAAAUGAUUACAGCUUAUAAAUGAUGUCUAAUCCCAACAGUCAGUACACUGUUCGAGGAGAUCUCAAGAGACUGUUCCUUGAUUACUGCUAGACAACUGUCUAGAAGUUCC